rnacentral:rRNA from 1 species
GAUGAACGCUAGCGGCAGGCUUAAUACAUGCAAGUCGAGGGGCAGCACGGUUAGCAAUAACUGGUGGCGACCGGCGCACGGGUGCGUAACACGUAUACAAUCUACCUUAAACAGGGGGAUAGCCUUUCGAAAGAGAGAUUAAUACCCCGUAAUAAAUUGAACGGCAUCGUUUGAUUUUGAAAGCUCUGGCGGUUUGAGAUGAGUAUGCGUCUGAUUAGCUAGUUGGUGAGGUAACGGCUCACCAAGGCGACGAUCAGUAGGGGAUCUGAGAGGACUAACCCCCCACACUGGUACUGAGACACGGACCAGACUCCUACGGGAGGCAGCAGUAAGGAAUAUUGGUCAAUGGAGGCAACUCUGAACCAGCCAUGCCGCGUGCAGGAUGACGGCCCUAUGGGUUGUAAACUGCUUUUAUACAAGAGAAAACCCUGGUACGUGUACCAGGUUGAUAGUAUUGUAAGAAUAAGCAUCGGCUAACUUCGUGCCAGCAGCCGCGGUAAU